rnacentral:lncRNA from 1 species
GUGGAUGCGCGGACGCAGGCAACUACGGUGUUUACACCGAUGUGCCCGAUUACGUGACCUUCAUUGAGAACAAUGCCAAUACUGGAACAUUCUGCUAAAGAUAGCUGACAGAACCCGGAUUUAUCGCCAGCAAGACGAACGACUUACGCGAACGAGGAGCCAAUCCGAACACGCUGACGACUCUCACCGAUUGCUUGCUUUGUUUAAGGAAUAACGGAUGUCUACGGCAUAACCUUGAAUUAACUCCAUAACUUUGGCUAUUGCAAAUAAAAAUACAUUGCAA